rnacentral:rRNA from 1 species
AGGAAUAUUGGUCAAUGGACGAGAGUCUGAACCAGCCAAGUAGCGUGAAGGAUGACUGCCCUAUGGGUUGUAAACUUCUUUUAUAAAGGAAUAAAGUCGGGUAUGUAUACCCGUUUGCAUGUACUUUAUGAAUAAGGAUCGGCUAACUCCGUGCCAGCAGCCGCGGUAAUACGGAGGAUCCGAGCGUUAUCCGGAUUUAUUGGGUUUAAAGGGAGCGUAGAUGGAUGUUUAAGUCAGUUGUGAAAGUUUGCGGCUCAACCGUAAAAUUGCAGUUGAUACUGGAUAUCUUGAGUGCAGUUGAGGCAGGCGGAAUUCGUGGUGUAGCGGUGAAAUGCUUAGAUAUCACGAAGAACUCCGAUUGCGAAGGCAGCCUGCUAAGCUGCAACUGACAUUGAGGCUCGAAAGUGUGGGUAUCAAACAGGAUUAGAUACCCUGGUAGUCCACACGGUAAACGAUGAAUACUCGCUGUUUGCGAUAUACUGCAAGCGGCCAAGCGAAAGCGUUAAGUAUUCCACCUGGGGAGUACGCCGGCAACGGUGAAACUCAAAGGAAUUGACGGGGGCCCGCACAAGCGGAGGAACAUGUGGUUUAAUUCGAUGAUACGCGAGGAACCUUACCCGGGCUUAAAUUGCAGAUGAAUUACGGUGAAAGCCGUAAGCCGCAAGGCAUCUGUGAAGGUGCUGCAUGGUUGUCGUCAGCUCGUGCCGUGAGGUGUUGGCUUAAGUGCCGUAACGAGCGCAACCCUUGUUGUCAGUUACUAACAGGUUUUGCUGAGGACUCUGACAAGACUGCCAUCGUAAGAUGUGAGGAAGGUGGGGAUGACGUCAAAUCAGCACGGCCCUUACGUCCGGGGCUACACACGUGUUACAAUGGGGGGUACAGAGGGCCGCUACCACGCGAGUGGAUGCCAAUCCCCAAAACCUCUCUCAGUUCGGACUGGAGUCUGCAACCCGACUCCACGAAGCUGGAUUCGCUAGUAAUCGCGCAUCAGCCACGGCGCGGUGAAUACGUUCCCG